UAUGCAGAGGAAGUUUUCGGAUGGAAUCGGUUUAACUUAGUGGCGGACGGGUGAGUAACGCGUGGGAAACCUGCCCUGUACCGGGGGAUAACACUUAGAAAUAGGUGCUAAUACCGCAUAAGCGCACAGCUUCGCAUGAAGCAGUGUGAAAAACUCUGGUGGUACAGGAUGGUCCCGCGUCUGAUUAGCCAGUUGGCAGGGUAACGGCCUACCAAAGCGACGAUCAGUAGCCGGCCUGAGAGGGUGAACGGCCACAUUGGGACUGAGACACGGCCCAAACUCCUACGGGAGGCAGCAGUGGGGAAUAUUGCACAAUGGGGGAAACCCUGAUGCAGCGACGCCGCGUGAGUGAAGAAGUAUUUCGGUAUGUAAAGCUCUAUCAGCAGGGAAGAAAAUGACGGUACCUGACUAAGAAGCCCCGGCUAACUACGUGCCAGCAGCCGCGGUAAUACGUAGGGGGCAAGCGUUAUCCGGAUUUACUGGGUGUAAAGGGAGCGUAGACGGCAUGACAAGCCAGAUGUGAAAACCCAGGGCUCAACCCUGGGACUGCAUUUGGAACUGCCAGGCUGGAGUGCAGGAGAGGUAAGCGGAAUUCCUAGUGUAGCGGUGAAAUGCGUAGAUAUUAGGAGGAACACCAGUGGCGAAGGCGGCUUACUGGACUGUAACUGACGUUGAGGCUCGAAAGCGUGGGGAGCAAACAGGAUUAGAUACCCUGGUAGUCCACGCGGUAAACGAU
rnacentral:rRNA from 1 species